rnacentral:lncRNA from 1 species
CAGGCUCCGCGCAGGGCUCGCCAGGCGGGCAGGCGCACGGGGGACACCUGCGAGCCUGGAGGUGGCGGAGGGUGCGAACCCGGCGGCGCGGCCAAACCUGCGCUGGCUGCCUGGGCCUCCUGGGCCAGGAGCUGGCACUGGGGGCGGCGGCGGUGUGGGAAAGUGGCGCCGCGGUGGGGCCUCCUGGAUGUGUCGGCGGAGGUGGCUUCAGUCCCGCGGAGCCCAGGCUUCAGGGAUGGUCAGCACGUUCCUUCCUGAGCCUUGGGCCCCUGCGAGAAGGAGAAGAGGAGAGCGGAGAUCUUCAGCAGAAAGGAAGACAUGGUGCUGGUGGCUGGACCCUCCGUGGCCAUGCUUUCACCAAUUCUCGGGAUGCCCAUAGGGAUGGGUGAAGCCCGCCUGGCCUGUGGUGCUCCCCAGUGGCCGUCAUCUCACUAG